UACAGGGGGUGCAAACGUUGCUCGGAAUCAUUGGGCGUAAAGCGCACGUAGGCGGUCUGUUAUGUCGGAUGUGAAAGCCCUUGGCUCAACUGAGGAAGUGCAUCCGAAACUGGCAGGCUAGAGUACUAAAGAGGAUCGCGGAAUUCCCGGUGUAGAGGUGAAAUUCGUAGAUAUCAAGCAGAACACCUGCGGCGAAGGCGGCCUUCUGGACGAUGACUGACGCUGAGACGCGAAAGCGUGGGGAGCAAACAGG
rnacentral:rRNA from 1 species